GGCCGAUCUUAAAAUAAAUCAAUAUUGAUUUUUUUAUAGGGAAUUAAAGUUUUGCGAAGCCAGGGGGCGGGACUACUUGAUUGACAGUCCGGUCUGGAAUGAUUGACAGGUCCUAUGGAGGAGGCAGCAGAGACUCUGUUCUCCUCGUUUGGAUUAAUUCUGAUAUAAUAACUGUUGGUUUAUUUAUUGGUGGAGCAGCAGAACAUUUUCCACAGACAGUUUUCCUGCCCGUUGGCUUGUUUUAACCAGUUUUCUACCUUCGGCUGAUUCUACCAGCAGACACUGAAAGGACUCUGAUAGUUCGAGUGAAAGUAGCAGUUCCUCCUUAAGGUCAGAGAUUGCAGCAUCUGAGGGCCUCUUCAAAAGAAGACAUAGUUGAUGAAGGCGUUCUGGAGCAGGACCAGAAAGACCACGACCAAGCAGCCUUGAGAUCUUAGGCAGCGUCUCCCUCAGAUCCACCAACCACUGGAACACAUCUCCAAAGUUCUGCCGGGCCAGCUCAGCUUCCCCUCAGAAGAAGUGCUGCCACCUGCCAGAUGAAGGAGCCUUUUGAGAGGCAGCUGGCAUCGUGAUUGGACUGUACUUUGGUCUGUUCCAGUCCAGCUUCAGCUCCAGAGACGGCAGGCGGGACGAGUCAACGGAGGCCGGGUGGAUGAAGGCAUGAAGCUGAGUACAAUCCAGAAAACAACAGAGGAAGAAACAAACAUAGUGUAUACAUCAUAUACUGUAUAAAAGACACAUCCACUGUAGAAUUGUAGUAAUUGUGGGCUGACUGAUUUACUGAUUAUCAGUAUUUUAUUUUUUACUGAUUUACGGUAAUAAAUACAUUUAAAAAUGGCGCUACUUUGGCUCUGAACCUUAAUCUACCUGUGGUCGCUCUGUCUUCUGGAGUGAUUUGAUUGGUUAUACGUCACGAAUAAAACUCCUUUAACUUAACAUCUGUAAACAAAACAAAAACGUAUCAACAAAGUUUUCUGUUAAAGUUUGUGUUCUUCUAAGUUUAACUCCAAGAUUUUAAAUACUUUCAUUUACUGCAAAUGAAUAUCGACUCCAAAUGUCUCAGUAAUAAUCAUUAUCAGCCUUAAAAACCCACAAAACACCCCUCUAUACUCGACCACACUUAGUACAGUCCGGUUCCCCCUUCUAUAAAUCUGCUUGGAAUCGUCCACUUCCUGUUUGUCAAAGUGGCCUUCUACCUGGACAGGUUUUGUUGGAGCUCAUGCAGCAAACAUUUUGGGUAACUGCACUUUAAUAUGGAUGGAUGACACUGAAUUAGAGUCUGUUUUAAUGAGACUGAGUUAAGAUGUGUAGCUCUGUCAUUAAAUAGGAAAUUAUUUCUCAGAAUUCACAGAGGAAAGUCUGAAAUGUUUGCUAGGUUAGCGUCCCACAUGUUCUUUGGCUCAGCUAAAGCUAACUCUCUCCAGCUUGUGGAUCUCUUGAGUUGCUUGUUGUUAAAAUAUCUUGCUGUAGGUGCUGAAGCUCAGAAAGUCUGACAUGUUUGUUCAAAAUAAGCUCAUUCUCAAGUCUUAUCUGAACUGUCCUCUUUUGUUUGAACUUUCCCUAAACUUAGGAGUUAAUGACAGAGCAGCACAUCCAGACUCAGUCUCAUUUAUGUAGAGAUUAAACUUCAGUGUCAUUCAUUGAUGUUAAAGUGCAGUUUUUCAAAUGUUUGUUGCACAUGCUCCCGACCAAACCAGUCCAGGUGGAAGACAAUGUGAAGAGAAAGCUCCAGAGGAUGAAUAUCACACAUUUACGUUGGAAAUAAAUGUCCUUUAAUUAGA